rnacentral:rRNA from 1 species
GAUGAACGCUGGCGGCGUGCCUAAUACAUGCAAGUCGAGCGAACAGACGAUGCGCUUGCUCCUCUCACGUUAGCGGCGGACGGGUGAGUCACACGUGGAUAACCUACCUAUAAGACUGGGAUCACUACGGGACUCCGGCUCUUAUACCGGAUAAUAUCCUGAACCGCAUUGUUCAUUAGUGAGAGACGGCUUUGCUGUCACUUCUAGCUGGAUAUCCGCCGCAUUAGCUAGUUGGUACGGUAACGGCUUACCAAGGCAACUAUGCGUAGCCGACGUGACAGGGUGGUCGGCCACACGGGAGCUGAGACACGGUCCAGACUCCUGCGGGAGGCAGCAGUAGGGAACGUUCGGCAGUGGGCGAAAGUCUGACGCAGCGAGGCCGCGUGUGUGAUGGCAGUCUCGGGAUCGGAAAACUCUGUUAUUGGGGAUAAACAGCUGUGGCAGGAGCUGUGCACGUCGUGACGGUACCUGGUAAGAAAGCCACGGCUAACUACGUG